AACGAACGCUGGCGGCAGGCUUAACACAUGCAAGUCGAGCGCCCCGCAAGGGGAGCGGCAGACGGGUGAGUAACGCGUGGGAAUCUACCCAUCUCUACGGAACAACUCCGGGAAACUGGAGCUAAUACCGUAUACGCCCUACGGGGGAAAGAUUUAUCGGAGAUGGAUGAGCCCGCGUUGGAUUAGCUAGUUGGGGGGGUAAUGGCCCACCAAGGCGACGAUCCAUAGCUGGGAUGAGAGGAUGAGCAGCCACACUGGGACUGAGACACGGCCCAGACUCCUACGGGAGGCAGCAGUGGGGAAUAUUGGACAAUGGGCGAAAGCCUGAUCCAGCCAUGCCGCGUGAGUGAUGAAGGCCCUAGGGUUGCAAAGCUCUUUCACCGGUGAAGAUAAUGACGGUAACCGGAGAAGAAGCCCCGGCUAACUUCGUGCCAGCAGCCGCGGUAAGAC
rnacentral:rRNA from 1 species